ACUCAAAGGAAUUGACGGGGGCCCGCACAAGCGGUGGAGCAUGUGGAUUAAUACGUCACUAACCGUAGAACCUUACCCAGGCUUGACAUCUGCGGAAGACCCUUGAAAGGGGGUUGUGCCUCGCAAGAGGAGCCGCAAGACAGGUGUUGCAUGGCUGUCGUCAGCUCGUGUCGUGAGAUGUUGGGUUAAGUCCCGCAACGAGCGCAACCCUCACCGUAUGUUGCCAGCGUAAAGCCGGGCACUCUUACGGAACUGCCCGGGUAACCGGGAGGAAGGUGAGGAUGACGUCAAGUCAGCAUGGCCCUUACGCCUGGGGCUUCACACAUGCUACAAUGGCUGGUACAAAGGGUUCCAAGACCGCGAGGUGGAGGCAAUCCCAAAAAGCCAGUCUCAGUUCGGAUCGCAGGCUGCAACUCGCCUGCGUGAAGCUGGAAUCGCUAGUAAUGGCCGGUCAGCUAAACGGCCGUGAAUACGUUCCCGGGCCUUGUACACACCGCCCGU
rnacentral:rRNA from 1 species